CAUGAUAUUUAAUUAGGCAAAAUGGUUAAAUGACUUUGAUAUUUUCAUAGCCAGAACUCUAUUCCACUGCAAUCUUGAUUGUUAAAUAAAAGUAAGCGGAAGAACAAUCUUAAAUUACUAUAAAAUGUAUAAGAGUUUUUACACAAUAUUAUAAUAGUUCUGUUUUUUUAAUUACAUUUAUAAAAUUAUGAAUUUGCAUAUAAAUCUGCAGUCUACUAAUCAGUUAUGAAUUAUUAUAACAGGAUCAGUAGGAUGUCACUUGUGGAUCGCGAAAUCUCAUGACGAGUUUGAGUCAGACGUCAUCCGAGGAGGCAGUUUUAUUAGCACGCGGUUAUAAAUUUUUAAAAAAGCUGGGAGAAGGUGCUUACGCGAAGGUGUAUCUGGCGGAGUAUAAACCAGAAUCAGAUCCAGAAAGGAAUAGUACUUUGGCUUGCAAAGUGAUAGACACCGGGCUAGCGCCGAAAGAUUUCGUCCGAAAGUUUCUUCCCCGGGAGCUCGACAUCCUGGUGAAAUUGAAUCAUCCUCACGUGGUGCAUGUACAUAGUAUAUUCCAAAGACGUACAAAAUAUUUCAUAUUUAUGCGUUACGCUGAGAAUGGCGAUCUCCUGGAGUUUAUACUGAAGAAUGGUGCGGUUGCAGAGGGACAGGCGCGUGUAUGGUUUCGACAACUUGCUCUUGGUCUUCAAUAUUUACACGAAAUGGAGAUUGCCCAUAGAGACAUAAAAUGCGAGAAUGUUCUACUAACGUCAAAUUUCAAUGUCAAGCUUGCGGAUUUCGGAUUUGCUCGCUACGUGAUAGAUAAUCGAGGUAAACGCGUUCUGAGCGAUACUUAUUGCGGUUCUCUAUCGUACGCUGCCCCAGAGAUCCUUCGUGCUUCCCCGUACAAUCCAAAGAUCGCGGAUCUCUGGUCCCUUGGUGUCAUCCUCUACAUUCUUUUAAACAAAUCGAUGCCCUUUGACGACACUGAUAUCAAACGUCUGUACGAACAACAAACAAAUCGCAAAUGGAAGUUCCGAAGUAAAAUCGCAGAAACCUUAAGCGAACAAGUAAAGAAGCUAGUGACUCGUCUUUUGGAACCUGAUGUCUCGAAACGCUGGAAACUGGAUCAGACAUUGCACAGUGAAUGGAUUGCAAUGGAUCCUAGACUUCUGGUACUCACACCAGCUGAACAGACUGCUCUUAACAACGCAAUGCAGGAGAGGAAGAAAAUCGAAGAGAAAUUCUCUGCGAAAGAUCCUAAAUUGUUCAAAGUGGAGGAAAAGAAGAAAACGAACAACACGGCUAAUGCGAAACCUGAAGAGGUCACCGUGAUUAAGAAAGCUGCCAGAGUAACAAUGUCUUCUGUAGCUGCUGGACCCAUAUUUAAACGCUCUUAGCGUUCAGGAGUAUACGUAUGUUGAGCUUUAUAUGAAUCUCCAUGACCAUAAACCAUCAAGUUGCUGUCAGGAGAAUUUUUCUACACCUUCAUACAUCUUGAACAGUUUUAUACACCUCUUAAAGAUCUUCCCAUGGCUGAUAACGUAAGACUAAAGUCUGUGUGGUCAGUCGUAGAAUGAUCCACAAGGUAUCUAUCCUUGGCUCCGCAAAUGCUUCCAUUAUUCUUGGUAUGUGUAGUUCUACAAAUUAUGAAAGUA